rnacentral:rRNA from 1 species
AGAGUUGAUCCUGGCUUAGGAUGAACGCUAGCGACAGGCUAACACAUGCAAGUCGAGGGGCAGCACGGGAGUAGCAAUACUUUGGUGGCGACCGGCGCACGGGUGAGUAACGCGUAUGCAACCUACCUAUCAGAGGGGAAUAACCCGGCGAAAGUCGGACUAAUACCGCAUAAAACAGGGGCACCGCAUGGUGAUAUUUGUUAAAGAAAUUCGCUGAUAGAUGGGCAUGCGUUCCAUUAGGUAGUUGGUGAGGUAACGGCUCACCAAGCCGACGAUGGAUAGGGGAACUGAGAGGUUGGUCCCCCACACUGGUACUGAGACACGGACCAGACUCCUACGGGAGGCAGCAGUGAGGAAUAUUGGUCAAUGGGCGGGAGCCUGAACCAGCCAAGUCGCGUGAAGGAAGAAGGAUCUAUGGUUCGUAAACUUCUUUUGCAGGGGAAUAAAGUGCAGGACGUGUCCUGUUUUGUAUGUACCCUGAGAAUAAGGAUCGGCUAACUCCGUGCCAGCCGCGGC